GACGAACGCUGGCGGCGUGCUUAACACAUGCAAGUCGAACGGAAAGGCCCUGCUUUUGUGGGGUGCUCGAGUGGCGAACGGGUGAGUAACACGUGAGUAACCUGCCCUUGACUUUGGGAUAACUUCAGGAAACUGGGGCUAAUACCGGAUAGGAGCUCCUGCUGCAUGGUGGGGGUUGGAAAGUUUCGGCGGUUGGGGAUGGACUCGCGGCUUAUCAGCUUGUUGGUGGGGUAGUGGCUUACCAAGGCUUUGACGGGUAGCCGGCCUGAGAGGGUGACCGGCCACCAUGGGACUGAGAUACGGCCCAGACUCCUACGGGAGGCAGCAGUGGGGAAUCUUGCACAAUGGGCGGAAGCCUGAUGCAGCAACGCCGCGUGCGGGAUGACGGCCUUCGGGUUGUAAACCGCUUUCGCCUGUGACGAAGCGUGAGUGACGGUAAUGGGUAAAGAAGCACCGGCUAACUACGUG
rnacentral:rRNA from 1 species